rnacentral:rRNA from 1 species
AGGAUGAACGCUGGCGGCGUGCCUAAUACAUGCAAGUCGAACGAGCUCUUCGGAGCUAGUGGCGGACGGGUGAGUAACACGUUGGUACCUACCCCGAAGUGGGGAAUAACUGCCCGAAAGGGUGGCUAAUACCGCAUAAUACCGCAAGGUUAAAGCGAGUAAUCGCGCUUCGGGAGGGGCCUGCGUCCCAUUAGCUAGUUGGUAGGGUAAUGGCCUACCAAGGCGACGAUGGGUAGCUGGAUCGAGAGGUUGACCAGCCACACUGGGACUGAGAUACGGCCCAGACUCCUACGGGAGGCAGCAGUAAGGAAUCUUCCACAAUGGACGAAAGUCUGAUGGAGCAACGCCGCGUGCAGGAUGACGGUCUUCGGAUUGUAAACUGCUUUUAUAUGGAAGAUUAUGACGGUACCAUAUGAAUAAGGACCGGCUAACUACGCGCCAGCAGCCGC